UUUUACUUCAGAAUGUUUCAGUUUUUCUAAGAAUUUCUUCUUUUUUUCCAGCUGGGAUUCAGUGUCUACAACAUUAAGAGCCCUCUGUGUUCCUGAGGCAAGUGCUUAAAGAAUAUCAACACUGAAGGAUGAUAGAGUGAAGAAUACGUGUCAGUGAUCAUACUAUCAAAUAGAACCAAUUACAGCCACCACCAACCUUUUUAUUCUCUGAGGAAAAGAAGUUUCUAUGAAUGCUUAACCUAUGGAUACAGGGUUCGUUUGAUCACUGGUGUGUUUACACUGAACAGAGGCUGUCUGUGAAAGAACAAAAAACUAUAAACAUGGACAAGCCACAGGAUGGGUGAGUUGAGUUUGGGACAUGUUUUAAGCAGCAAGG
rnacentral:lncRNA from 1 species